rnacentral:rRNA from 1 species
GAUGAACGCUGGCGGCGUGCUUAACACAUGCAAGUCGAACGAACCUUCGGGUUAGUGGCGGACGGGUGAGUAACGCGUGAGAAUCUGCCCUCAGGAGGGGAUAACGGCUGGAAACGGCCGCUAAUACCCCAUAUGCCGCGAGGUGAAAUGAAUUUCGCCUGAGGAUGAGCUCGCGUCUGAUUAGCUUGUUGGUGAGGUAAUGGCUCACCAAGGCGACGAUCAGUAGCUGGUCUGAGAGGAUGAUCAGCCACACUGGGACUGAGACACGGCCCAGACUCCUACGGGAGGCAGCAGUGGGGAAUUUUCCGCAAUGGGCGAAAGCCUGACGGAGCAACGCCGCGUGAGGGAUGAAGGCCUCUGGGCUGUAAACCUCUUUUAUCAAGGAAGAAGAUCUGACGGUACUUGAUGAAUAAGCCACGGCUAAUUCCGUG